AACCUUACCUGGUCUUGACAUAGUAAGAACUUUCCAGAGAUGGAUUGGUGCCUUCGGGAACUUACAUACAGGUGCUGCAUGGCUGUCGUCAGCUCGUGUCGUGAGAGUGUUGGGUUAAGUCCCGCAACGAGCGCAACCCUUUCCUAUUUGCCAGCGGGUUAAGCCGGGAACUUUAAGGAUACUGCCAGUGACAAACUGGAGGAAGGCGGGGACGACGUCAAGUCAUCAUGGCCCUUACGACCAGGGCUACACACGUGCUACAAUGGUCGGUACAAAGGGUUGCUACCUAGCGAUAGGAUGCUAAUCUCAAAAAGCCGAUCGUAGUCCGGAUUGGAGUCUGCAACUCGACUCCAUGAAGUCGGAAUCGCUAGUAAUCGCGGAUCAGAAUGCCGCGGUGAAUACGUUCCCGGGCCUUGUACACACCGCCCGUCACACCAUGGGAGUUUGUUGCACCAGAAGUAGGUAGUCUAACCGCAAGGAGGACGCUUACCACGGUGUGGCCGAUGACUGGGGUGAAGUCGUAACAAGGUAAGCGUAGAUGA
rnacentral:rRNA from 1 species